AGAAUCAACGCUGGCGGCGUGCCUAACACAUGCAAGUCGCACGAGAAAGGGACUUCGGUCCUAAGUACAGUGGCGCACGGGUGAGUAACACGUGAAUCAUCUACCUCCGAGUGGGGAAUAACUGAGAGAAAUCUUAGCUAAUACCGCAUAACACUUACGAGUCAAAGCAGCAAUGCGCUUGGAGAGGAGUUCGCGGCAGAUUAGUUAGUUGGCGGGGUAAUGGCCCACCAAGACGAUGAUCUGUAUCCGGCCUGAGAGGGCGCGACGGAACGACGACUGGAACGUGAAACACGGUCCAGACUCCUACGGGAGGCAGCAGUGGGGAAUUUUGCGCAAUGGGGGAAACCCUGACGCAGCAACGCCGCGUGGAGGAUGAAAUCCCUUGGGAUGUAAACUCCUUUCGAUAGGGAAGAUAAUGACGGUACCUAUAGAAGAAGCCCCGGCUAACUUCGUGCCAGCAGCCGC
rnacentral:rRNA from 1 species